AUUGAACGCUGGCGGCAGGCCUAACACAUGCAAGUCGAGCGGGGGUAGCAAUACCCUAGCGGCGAACGGGUGAGGAAUGCUUGGGAAUCUGCCUGGUAGUGGGGGAUAACGUUCCGAAAGGAACGCUAAUACCGCAUACGUCCUACGGGAGAAAGGGGGGGAUCUUCGGACCUCUCGCUAUCAGAUGAGCCCAAGCCGGAUUAGCUAGUUGGUGGGGUAAUGGCCCAACAAGGCGACGAUCCGUAGCUGGUCUGAGAGGAUGAUCAGCCACACUGGAACUGAGACACGGUCCAGACUCCUACGGGAGGCAGCAGUGGGGAAUAUUGGACAAUGGGGGAAACCCUGAUCCAGCCAUGCCGCGUGUGUGAAGAAGGCCUUCGGGUUGUAAAGCACUUUAAGCGGGGAGGAAGGUUCGCUACUUAAUACGUAGCGGAAUUGACGUUACCCGCAGAAUAAGCACCGGCUAACUCUGUGCCAGCAGCCGCCGUAAGAC
rnacentral:rRNA from 1 species